rnacentral:tRNA from 1 species
CGCGGGGUAGUGUAGCCAGAUAACACGCUGGGCUCAUGUCUCAGAGAGCGCUGGUUCAAAUCCAGCUCCCGCAA